rnacentral:rRNA from 1 species
GAUGAACGCUAGCGGCAGGCUUAAUACAUGCAAGUCGAGGGGCAGCAGUUUUGUAGCAAUACAGAAGCUGGCGACCGGCAAACGGGUGCGGAACACGUACGCAACCUUCCUUUAACUGGGAGAUAGCCCACCGAAAGGUGGAUUAAUAUCCCAUAAUAUAACUGAAUGGCAUCAUUUAGAUAUUAAAGCUCCGGCGGUUAAAGAUGGGCGUGAGUCUGAUUAGGUAGUUGGCGGGGUAACGGCCCACCAAGCCUUCGAUCAGUAGCUGAUGUGAGAGCAUGAUCAGCCACCGGGCGACUGAGACGCGGGCCCGAGUGCGACGGGCGGCAGCAGUAAGGAAUAUUGAUCAACGGACGCAGGUUUCAACCAGCCAUGCCCUGUGAAGGAUGAAGGCCCUCUGGGUUGUAAACUACUCUUCUUUGGGACGAAACCCCUGUUUCUACGGGUACUGACGGUACCAGAGGAAUAAGCACCGGCUAACUCCGUGCCAGCCGCCGCCGUAA